GCUGGGGCUCAGUAGCAUAGUGCUUGCCACUGGAUUUGAUCCUUAAACAAGUUGUCCAUCUACAACUACAAAAAAAAAAAAUUACAAAAAGAUUGAGCAUAAGCUUUAAAGAGCUUUUAAAUUUUUUUUUUUUAAGAGAGAAUUUUUAAUAUGUAUUUAUUUAUUUUUAGUUUUCAGCGAUACAACAUCUUUGUUUGUAUGUGGUGGUGAGGAUCGAACCCGGGCCGCACGCAUGCCAGGCGAGCGCGCUACCGCUUGAGCCACAUCCCCAGCCCCGAGCUUUUAAAUUUUAAGAAAAUUUAAAAUCUUCUGAUUAGCUAAGGAAUAAGCAGAGCGGCAGGGAAAACCACUGUAAAUUGAUAUUUUAUUACUUUUUAGUCAUGUACCUGAAACCUAUACCAGACACUAAAAUUUAACAUAUUUUAUUCCCUAAAAUUGAAGAAGAUUAACUCCAGUUAGAAUAGGAAAAAACA
rnacentral:lncRNA from 1 species